CCUAAGAGACCGGUAGGUCAGGGCCGCCGUUGAGUGAUUGGAGCUUCCCUACUAGAAGGGAAAUCCAGAUAGAGGGACGGAUAGAGUUCUGUUGCAGUAGAGACUGAUUUGGCUACCUUGUUAGAAGGGGUUAUGCGGCCCGUGGGUGGG